AUUGAACGCUGGCGGCAGGCCUAACACAUGCAAGUCGAGCGGAUGAAGGGAGCUUGCUCCUGGAUUCAGCGGCGGACGGGUGAGUAAUGCCUAGGAAUCUGCCUGGUAGUGGGGGAUAACGUCCGGAAACGGGCGCUAAUACCGCAUACGUCCUGAGGGAGAAAGUGGGGGAUCUUCGGACCUCACGCUAUCAUAUGAGCCUAGGUCGGAUUAAAUAGUUGGUGGGGUAGAGGGCUACCAAGGCGACGAUCCGUAACUGGUCUGAAAGGAUGAUCAGUCACAUUGGAACAGAGACACGGUCCAGACUCCUACGGUAGGAAGCAGUGGGGAAUAUUGGACAAUGGGCGAAAGCCUGAUCCAGCCAUGCCGCGUGUGUGAAGAAGGUCUUCGGAUUGUAAAGCACUUUAAGUUGGGAGGAAGGACAGUAAGUUAAUACCUUGCUGUUUUGACGUUACCAACAGAAUAAGCACCGGCUAACUUCGUG
rnacentral:rRNA from 1 species